UACGUAGGGUGCGAGCGUUGUCCGGAAUUAUUGGGCGUAAAGAGCUCGUAGGCGGUCUGUCGCGUCGGUCGUGAAAACUUGGGGCUUAACCCUGAGCUUGCGGUCGAUACGGGCAUGACUGGAGUUCGGCAGGGGAGACUGGAAUUCCUGGUGUAGCGGUGAAAUGCGCAGAUAUCAGGAGGAACACCGGCGGCGAAGGCGGGUCUCUGGGCCGAUACUGACGCUGAGGAGCGAAAGCGUGGGGAGCGAACAGG
rnacentral:rRNA from 1 species